AGAGGCCGUCCUGAUUGGGCUGAGAAAGGGGCGGAGAGAAACAAAACAGAUCGCACGCCCUCACCUAAAACACCGCUAGGCAGGACCUGGUGGGGAGGAGCAUUGCUUGGAAGAGACAGGGCCGCAGAAAGUAGAAACAGUCCAGAUGAGACUGCACUGGGGCGGGAACUAGAGAUGGAGGACUCCCGCGCAAGGGGGACAGGCUGGACUGAAAGAGGACACGGGAAGAACAAAGACUUAGACUCGAAGCCCUCAGAUGGUGGCCCUUGCAUGCUUCAGUUCAUGAUGUUGGAGACUGUUUCCCCACCCUUGCGGAAAAACCUUCUCUCUGUGCCAUGCAGCUACUGCCAGGGAUGGAGGAUGGCUGGAAUUGGCAACUAAAGACUGUCCUCCUACCCUCUUCAGUGUGUCCUUCAGCGAUAUGAAGUUAAAACCAGGUAUUGUAAAUGCUCACCUGAUUUUUAGUUCGUAUGAAGGUGCUUUUUUCCUGUAGAUUGUUGUUAAAUGCGGUAUUCCUGAAGAGGAAAUGAUUGGUGGAAACUUAUAUUUGGCCAUCUUGCUCCAGCCCCUCUCUAGACAUUCUCUUACUGUUUUAUUUACUGAAACAGACAUACACACACACAAAUAAAAAUCACCCAUAGCCCCAUCAUCUCUAAAAUGUAUAAAAAUAAUUUGCACUGUCUAUCUGUUCACCAGUCCCUCUUCUCCCAGAUUAAGCUUCUCAAUUUUUAACAAGCAUAAGAAAUCUAGUUAAAAUGCAGAUUCCUGGGCACCACCCUCAGCUAUUCUAGUUUGGGAGGCCUAGGAUGAGACCCAAGAAUCUGCAUUUUUAAACAAAUUCACUGAUCGGCUGGGCGCAGUGGCUCACACCUGUAAUCCCAGCACUUUGGGAGGCCAAGGCAGGCAGAUCAUGAGAUCAGGAGUUCAAGACCAGCCUGGCCAACUUAGUGAAACCCCAUCUCUACUAAAAAUACAAAAAAUUACCCAGGUGUGGUAGCGGGCACCUGUAAUCCCAGCUACUCAGGAGGAUGAGGCAGGAGAAUUGCGUGAACCCGGGAGGAGGAAGUUGCAGUGAGCCGAGAUCUCGCGACUGCACUCCAGUCCGGGCGACAGUGUGAGACUCUGUCUCAAAAUAAAUAAAUAAAUAAAUACAAUAAAAUACAGUAAAAAAUUUUCACUGAUCAUGGAGCCACAAAGAUGUCUGAGAAACCCUAUUCAAGCUCUUUGGCUUUCUAGGAUAGAUUUGCAUGUCAAUAUCAGCAUGCACAUUUUUUUUUGUUUUUUGUUUUUGGUAUUUGCUUGUUUGUUUUAGUAAAUAAAAGCUGCUGUAAUUAUUGAUCUGCAAGUGAUUGUUUUUAACUUAACCAUAUUCCCUGGACUUCAGAAAAAAAUUGACAUAACUUAUCUACAGUAAAACACAUGAGUCUGAGGCCAGGCGUGGUGGCUCAGGCCUGUAAUCCCAGCACUUUCGGAGGCUGAGGCGGGCAGAUCACUUGAGGUCAGGAGUUCAAGACCAGCCUGUCCAACAUGGUGAAACCCCAUCUCUACAAAAAUACAAAAAUUAGCUGGGCGUGAUGGUGUGCGCCUGUAAUCCCAGCUGCUUGGGAGGCUGACGCAGGAGAAAUGCUUGCAGAGGCAGAGGUUGCAGUGAGCAGAGAUCAUGCCACUGCACUCCAGCCUGAGCAACAGAGCGAGACUCCGUCUCAAAAAAAACAAAACAAAGGCCAGGCGUGGUGGCUCAUGCCUGUAAUCCCAGCACUUUGAGAGGCUGAGGCGGGCAGAUCACCUGAGGUCGAGAGUUCGAGACCAGCCUGACCAACA